rnacentral:lncRNA from 1 species
CAACCCAGGAAGCACGAAAGGUAAAGCACGCCUUACCUUUCGAAGAUCCUUGCAGGGCGGGCUUGUGGAUGCCUGCUAAUCCUUAGCUGCAGAGAAACAUUCUUCUCAGAUUCCCUCUCCUCUUCCCAGCUAAUAUUUGUAUUUUUAGUAGAUACGGGGUUUCAUCAUGCUGGCCAAGCUGGUCUCAAACUCCUAGCCUCAUGUGAUCCACCCGUCUUGGCCUCCCAAAAUGCUAGGAUGACAGGCAUGAGCCACUGCACCCGGCCCCAACUCAGCAUAUUUCUCAUGCCCUCCUGGUCUCUCCCCGUGGACAGUCCAGAUCCUAGAAAUGUCAAAGCGUUCCAGCAGGACCCUCUCUGCAGGGUGUGUCUGUGCCCAGAAGCCUCCUAUGGGCCCUGACUCAGGGCAGCACCCGCUGCCUCCAGGUGAGGGCUUCUGGCCCAGGGCGGUGAGCUCCCCCGCCUGCACAAGCCCUGGUAUUUUCCACACAGCCUCUUGCUCUUCAGGAUGUUUUGUAAUUUCUCUUCUACCUGCUGCUCCUGGGUCGGUGACAGGUCUUGCUCUUCAGGAGGUUAGAAAUCAGACUGGUGAGAGAACAACUUGUUGAGAAAAGGUGCAUCUGAUAUCUAAUCAGCUCACUAUAAAUAUAUUGUUCUCAAAACUUAGGCAUUUGCUGUGAUGAAUGUCAAUCUGGCGUUCGUCGUGAAAGAGGUCCCACCUCAAUCAACCAAACAGGCAGGCCUGCGGGCCCAUCCCUUCCCCAUGGACGGCCCAUCAGAUGAGCUAGAAUCACUGACCCACAGGCCUGGGGAUGGGUGCUGGUGUCUGGGGAAACU